CAAUUUCCCCAAGUUCCCCAAACACAGGAAAACCUCUCAGACUUUUCAGGUCUGGCUGCCAAAGACUUGUGCUCUCCUACAGCAGCAUAAGCUGCGGUGUGGUUCUGUGUGAUAGUCGAAGACUGACAUCAGCCUCUAAUAAAAGCACCCCUGGAGCCUAGUCUAUGUCUGUGCUUGCAGAGUCCCACUGAGCUGGUAAACAGCAUCCAGAAGUCAGCUGUGACCUACAAACUGACCCAAAGGUGAGCUACAUGGGAACUCCAAGUAGUCCUAUAAACCCAGAAAGCCCUGAUUGCUGAUGAAGAAUGUGAACCAUUCCAGCUGAGGUGGCUGCUCCAUUUCCUCGGCUGCCACAGACACUAAACAAGCUGACUGUGGUGGACCAGCCCUGUAAUCCCAGCACUCUGGAGGCAGAGGCAAGAAGGUCUCUGUGAGUUCUAGGGCAGUCUGGGCUCAUCAAAAGACUGUCUUAAAAUAAGCAAAAAUAAAAGAAAACCUAAGAGAAGUGUUGUCAUAACUAUUGAUAA